rnacentral:rRNA from 1 species
GAUGAACGCUGGCGGCGUGCUUAACACAUGCAAGUCGAACGGAAAGGCCAGUGCUUGCUCUGGUACUCGAGUGGCGAACGGGUGAGUAACACGUGGGUGAUCUGCCCUGCACUUCGGGAUAAGCCUGGGAAACUGGGUCUAAUACCGGAUAGGACAAUGGUUUGGAUGGCGUUGUGGAAAGUUUUUUCGGUGUGGGCGGAGCUCGCGGCCUAUCAGCUUGUGGGUGGGGUAUUGGCCUACCAAGGCGUCGACGGGGAGCCGGCCUGGGAGGGUGUACGGACACACUGGGAGUCGGAUACGGGCCAGAGUCCUACGGGGGGGAGAAGUGGGGAAAAUUGCACAAAGGGGGACAGCCUGAGGGAGGGAGGCCGCGUGGGGGAUGACGGCCUUCGGGUUGUAAAAUCCUUUCGCUAGGGACGAAGCGUAUUUGUGACGGUACCUGGAGAAGAAGCACCGGCUAACUACGUG